GUUUCUGUAGUGUAGUGGUCAUCACGUUCGCCUAACACGCGAAAGGUCCUCGGUCCUCGGUUCGAAACCGAGCAGAAACA